GCUCUGUUCAACCAGGGAUGCCCAGGAAUCUGCAUUGAAAGAGGAGGCACGUGUGCUGGAAGAGGAGUGCCACAACUUGAUGCUGGCUUCUCAGAGCAGCA
rnacentral:SRP_RNA from 14 species